AACGAACGCUGGCGGCAUGCCUAACACAUGCAAGUCGAACGAGACCUUCGGGUCUAGUUGCGCACGGGUGCGUAACGCGUGGGAACCUGCCCUUAGGUUCGGAAUAACUCCCCGAAAGGGGUGCUAAUACCGGAUAAUGUCUUCGGACCAAAGAUUUAUCGCCUUUGGAUGGGCCCGCGUUGGAUUAGCUAGUUGGUAGGGUAAAAGCCUACCAAGGCGACGAUCCAUAGCUGGUCUGAGAGGAUGAUCAGCCACACUGAGACUGAGACACGGCCCAGACUCCUACGGGAGGCAGCAGUGGGGAAUAUUGGACAAUGGGCGAAAGGAUGAUCCAGCAAUGCCGCGUGAGUGAUGAAGGCCUUAGGGAUGUAAAGCUCUUUUACCCGGGAUGAUAAUGACAGUACCGGGAGAAUAAGCUCCGGCUAACUCCGUG
rnacentral:rRNA from 1 species